rnacentral:lncRNA from 1 species
GUUUCAGGGUUAGAUCUUGAAACUUUUUCAAGAUCAGGCAGUGGAAAACUAAAAUAAAUCAAAAUUUAUUUUAUAAAAUUAGAAAAUCCCUAGAUCUAAGAUUCUAUUACAUGAUUAUUAUAUGGUAUUAAAUAAAAAAUUAAAAUAUAAAGAGCAAGAACUACAUGUUGAUCAUAUCAACAUGUUUCUAUACUACAUCUAAUGUAUAUAAAAUAUAAUUGAUCAGAUCUAUUACCUUGCAAGUUAGACAUUCUAACUUUGCUGAUAUGGGCUUGAGAAUAAUGUUGUGAGCCAUACAUGCAUCUGACCUCU